rnacentral:lncRNA from 1 species
AACAGUUCAAAAUUUGACAAGUCUUACUGGUUUAAACCUACAAAACAACUCGCUUACAGGAUCCAUUCCUAGUGUAAACCUGCCAAGGCUUAGGCAAUUGAAUAUAAGUAACAACCAACUUAAUGGUUCAAUUCCACGAUCUCUCAUAGGAUCCAUUCCUAAUGUAAACCUGCCAAGGCUUAGGCAAUUGAAUAUGAGCAACAACCAGCUCAACGGUUCAAUUCCACGAUCCCUUGCAAAGUUCCCUGCUUCUUCAUUUCAAGGAAAUUCUCUAUUAUGUGGACCACCCU